AGAAGAGCUGGGAAUGGAGGACUGAAGUUGAGCCUGGGAGUAAGGAGGGGAGUGGGGAGAUGGGGUUUCUAGUUUUGCCUUUGAUUCUCACCAUUCUGCUCUAAUUAAGUAAUCAAUAUGUUGGAUUAAUCUUCAAGUCAAGUCUGUUUGGCUCAUGCUGGUAAACUGCAUUGAAAGUUUGUAUAGCUCCUCUUCUCUUUCUCAUCUUCGCUUCAAACAGAAGAACAAAAAGCUGAGAGCAAUAAACUAAAGAGCUGAAAAAAUCUAGUGUAAAGAAGUAAUUCAAAGAACAAGGAAGAAAGAAAUACGAGAGGAGGAAGGGAACAAAGAGAGGACAAAGGAAGCAGAACAAGGGAAAGAAGUGUCCUAUCAUUCUAUAGAUGCUGAUUUUCUAUGUCAUGCUGGUGUCCCAUGGCCCUUGUGAAGUUUGGCUCCCUGUUGUACUAUUCUUCCAGAAGCAGAGAAGUAGAAACAAUCUCUGUGCCAAAGAGCUUGCAAGUAAGCAAGUCCACUGUGGUAGAUAAUUUUUCCUUAAUGAGCACGUGUAUCUUUGUACUGCUCAGGUUCCUGUUAGGUUACUAAAUCAUUCUUCCAGUCUCCCACUUUCUUGCUAUAUACCAGCAUGGAUUUUGGAGACUGGAGCUUCAAACUUCAUCGAAGUUGUGCUAUAUCUGAAUUCUAGCCAACAGAUACCACUCAAGAUGAAUGAGACAUAUCAAGGUAGAACCUGUUCAGAGAUCAGAAUGUGAUGCAGGAAAAGAAUGAGCAAUUCUGAAGGGAAAAAAAAAAGAAAAAGGCAAUUAAAGAUGAAAACAAAUAAUAUUGGCAAAUGGAAAAUCACUUUGAACAGGUUUAUUAAGGUUGUAUUGAUUGAACUCCCUCCCCCCCCCCCCCCCCCCCCCCCCCCGCAUUCUGAUCAGUUUUUGGUACUUAAGAAGCACAGAAUUACAAUUUGCUACUUUGCCUUUUUGCCUUUUUGUGUGUGUGUGUGUGAGAGAGUACUUUGUUAUCAUAGAAUCAUGGAAUGGCUUAGGUUGGAAUAGAUAUCAAAGGUCAUCCUGUUUCAAACUCUCUGCCGUGGGCACAGUUGCCACCCACCAGAUAAGACUGCCCUGUGCUCCAUCCAACCUGACUCUGAACACCUCCAGAGUUGGGCCAUUCGUACCUUGUCUGAGCAGCCUGUGCCAGCACCUCACCAUUCUCUGAGUAAAGCAUUUCCUCCUAAUAUAAACAGGUCUUGAUCAAUGCAGAAGGGAAACAUUCUGUCUCUAUACUUGCACAUCAUCAUUGCCUCAACAGGAUUCUGAUUCUUGAUAACUGUAAGAUAUGAUGCAGGCCAUAUUCAUUGUAAGGUGUAAUAUGGAGGGGGUCCAGUGAAGUGCCAUGACUAUAUGGAUCUGGAGCAUUGGUCUUAGAAGAGGUAAGUACUUUGAAAGGAACCUGUUAAUAUUUCUGUGAUGUCUAAUCAACAGCUGGACUUCUAACAGUAUAGAUGUACCAUACAGAAAGUUGCACGUGGACUUCAAAACUCACAUUGUUCUAAAUGUCAUGAGAAUUUCACGAGAAAUGAAAAAAAACCAGCAAUGAGCGGAGUCAUUGCAAAGGUAUUUAGACACUGUGCACAAGGCAAGAGGCCAUCUUACUACCUUUAGGAGGUAAGCAAUCAUGGUGAGACAGCUUGAAUUCUUGGAUCUCAUGCUAGAGCCUGCUGGGGAUAUUGGCUGGAAAGUUCUUAUAAUGGUGGUCACAUGUGGGCUAAUGAUGUUUAAUGGUGUAACUUGUGGGGUUUACUAGUGCAUGACCUUUCUGCUGUGAGAGAAAGACCCCAGCCACAUAUGCUGCACAUGUAAUGUCUUUUAAUCCCUCUGUAGACACCCCCAGGGACUGUGGGUACUGUCAGAAUUGCCCUGUUUAGGGUCCCCAUCUGGACACAUUUUCAGCUCUGCAACCUUGAAGUUCUCUCAUGCUUUUCAUUGAUACUCCCCAUAAUUAGUUAUUUUACCUCUCUUUCUGUUUCUUUCCAGCAGAGUUUGAAGAUUUGGUUGUGUCUUGGCCAGUGCCAAGAAAAAAAGUGCAAUAAAAGGAUUGUGUUUAAAUCUGCAGAAACUGAGAUCCAGCCCAAAGCAAGACAGCGUGAAAAUAAGGAGCUGUGGAUCAAGCGGCUCACUGAGUGAGCUCGCCUGCCUGUUAGUCUUCACUGAAUGAAAACUGCUCACCUCACUGUGAAAGAUGCAGCAUAAAGGCUUGAUGUAGACUUGGUUCCCUCAGUGUGACCUGUAUUACCUGAGCAGAAGGAUGUCUCAUUUCUGGAUUCUGAUCAGGCUUAGUUCACUGAAUUGAAGAGAGGAAACUUCUGUCUCCAGUGAUAUCACCUCUUGCCUUAUCAAGUUUAUAUUUUCUUCAUAAAUUCUCAGUUCAUCAAGUAAAACAAAAGUCCUCAGGUGAUCCAUGAAUAACAACCAGCCCUCCCGGACUACCCUUCUCUCCAGCAGUCACCCAUGAGAUGUUACCAAGCAGAACUCUGAAGUGUCAAAUAUGAUUUUCCCUGCCUGGAGAGGCAUGUAUUCUGUAGCUACUCCUGACAUACCUGUAAACUGCUCUUCCCUAUGAGGUGUGAAAUGGGAGCAGUAAUUACUUCCUGUGCUGCAAAGGCAUUGAGAAGUUUCAAGGCGUGCAGUUCUGGGUGACGGGAAACAAAACUAAACGAAGUAGAAAUGUGAUCAGAAAAACAAUGAGAGCAGAACUUGAUCUGCUUGCAGGAAAAAGAAAUAGAGGAAUCAGAAUAAUCCCUGAAAUAGAAUCUGCUCAAUGAAGAUUUGAAUUUUAUUGCAUUUCUACAAUUCCUUCUAGCUAGCCAAGAUGCUUGUGAGUUUUGCAUAAGGCUUCUGAAGUCGGAACAAGACAAAGUUAUAAUGAAGUCAAAAGCAAAGUAUUAUGGUCAGAUAUGUCAGCAAAGGACAAAGUCAAAAUGAGGAGUUUGGAGCUUCCUUUCAAAGCAGAGGCUCAGAAGCUUUCAGCCUUUCCUCAAUGGUGCAAUUUCCACAAUCAAGAUUUCAAUUGAGAUCACAUAAUAGCAACCUUAUGGAGAAGAUUGGCGUCUGAAAUUCAGCUGCAGCAAGUUCAUUUCCUGCAAGUAAUAGUAUCACCUGUUCAUCAUUCUUUAG
ensembl:lncRNA